rnacentral:rRNA from 1 species
UACAGAGGGUGCGAGCGUUAAUCGGAAUUACUGGGCGUAAAGCGCACGUAGGCGGCUUGGUAUGUCGGGUGUGAAAUCCCCGGGCUCAACCUGGGAACUGCAUCCGAAACUGCCUUGCUAGAGUAUGGGAGAGGGAAGUGGAAUUCCGGUGUAGCGGUGAAAUGCGUAGAUAUCGGAAGGAACAUCAGUGGCGAAGGCGACUUCCUGGACCAAUACUGACGCUCAGGUGCGAAAGCGUGGGAGCAACAGG